rnacentral:rRNA from 1 species
GACGAACGCUGGCGGCGUGCUUAACACAUGCCAGUCGAACGGAAAGGCCCUGCUUGCAGGGUGCUCGAGUGGCGAACGGGUGAGUAACACGUGGGUGAUCUGCCCCUUACUUUGGGAUAAGCCUGGGAAACUGGGUCUAAUACUGGAUAGGACCAUGCUGUAGGUGGUGUGGUGGAAAGAUUAGUUUCGGUAAGGGAUGAGCUCGCGGCCUAUCAGCUUGUUGGUGGGGUAAUGGCCUACCAAGGCGUCGACGGGUAGCCGGCCUGAGAGGGUGGACGGCGACAUUGGGACUGAGAUACGGCGCAGAAUCCUACGGGAGGCAGCAGUGGGGAAUAUUGCACAAUGGGCGCAAGCCUGAUGCAGCGACGCCGCGUGGGGGAUGACGGCCUUCGGGUUGUAAACUCCUUUCAGCCAUGACGAAGCCCUUGUGGUGACGGUAGUGGUAGAAGAAGCACCGGCUAACUACGUG